rnacentral:rRNA from 1 species
GUGCCAGCGCCGCGGUAACACCGGCAGCCCGAGUGGUGACCACUUUUAUUGGGCUUAAAGCGUCCGUAGCCGGGCUCACAAGCCCCUGGUUAAAUUCUACGGCCUAACCGUAGAUUUGCUGGGGGAACUGUAAGCCUUGGGGCCGGAAGAGGCCGAGGGUACUCCCGGGGUAGUGGUAAAAUGCUAUAAUCCUGGGGGGACCACCAAUAGCGAAAGCACUCGGCUUGGACGGGCCCGACGGUGAGGGACGAAGGCCAGGGGAGCGAACCGGAUUAGAUACCCCGGUAGUCC